CCGAACCGUCGACACGAGUUGUUGCUGGCCCCUCUCACGGGGGGCAUGUGCACGCUCUGUUUACACAUCCACUCACACCUGUGCACCCUCUGUGGUUCUGUGGCUCGAGGGACCCCGUCCCUCUGCCGCGGUUCUGCGUUUUUAUACACACCCUGUAGUAAAAGUCUUAUGGAAUGUGUUCCGCGUUUAACGCAAUGAAAUA
rnacentral:misc_RNA from 1 species